CUCAUUGCGAAUCAAAUCAAGCAUGCUCGAAUGAGACGACUCGUGAUUCAGUUGAGUCAGUGAAUCCGAGUCAGACCAAUUAAGUCGGAUUCACGAAGACUAGUUUUGUGAACCGAUUCAACCAAUUCAUCACAGAGAUCCGACUCAAAAGAAUGAUUCGAUGCCGAAUCGGACGUCGCUACUAGGUAGGCAGCUCGCUGUGUUUUGAAACGCAGCCGGUGUCUGAGCAUGUGCUGUUACUGCUGCAGUGAAGUAAAAUAUGUCAGUUAUCGCUGGACAGCAGCAAGAGCCGGCUACAAAUGUACUCUGAGAGGCAACCGGUGUAACGAUUUUCUGUUUAAUUCUUCCGUUUAUCACCAAAAUGAGGCCCGGCUUCUCCACAUCUACAGCGGCGGAAGAAUAAUACGAUGGCGUCGUAUCACCACUACAGAUCCCGGGUUUGGCGCCUUUACCAACAAGUUGAAGUGACAGCACGGCACCUAUGAGCUCACCUGACUAUGGUGGGUGUGGUCUGCUAAGAUGCCACUGCACCUAUAAAAACACCUAGACUCCGCCUCCAGCAGCAACACAA
rnacentral:lncRNA from 1 species